rfam:Salmo salar isolate Sally breed double haploid chromosome ssa22, whole genome shotgun sequence.
CACACAUAAAAAUGUAAGUCGCUUUGGAUGAAAGCAUCUACUAAAUGGCAUAUA